rnacentral:rRNA from 1 species
UACGGGGGGAGCAAGCGUUGUUCGGAUUUACUGGGCGUAAAGGGCGCGUAGGCGGCGUGACAAGUCACUUGUGAAAUCUCCGGGCUUAACCCGGAGCGGUCAAGUGAUACUGUCGUGCUAGAGUGCGGAAGGGGCUACUGGAAUUCUCGGUGUAGCGGUGAAAUGCGUAGAUAUCGAGAGGAACACCUGCGGCGAAGGCGGGUAGCUGAGCCGACACUGACGCUGAUGCGCGAAAGCCAGGGGAGCGAACGGG